rnacentral:lncRNA from 1 species
CCAACCCGCUACCAGCUAGAGGGUGCUGAUACCCUCUUUUUCCCACCACCUUCUGCCCCCAGACCUCUUCAGAGGCAUAGCAGGCUGGAAGGAGCAGCCUACCAGUGCCCUAGUCACCAUAGGGGAGGUAAGGAGCAAAUUUCUGCCCCCCUCUAAGCAGGAACAGUCUGUCCCAGCCUGAAAGACCCAGGAAAACAAGGACAAAGAUUCUUCCCCGUUCUGUUGUUUCUCCUUCCUCAUCUCCCACCUCUCCCCUCAUACUCUCCCUAGCAUUUGGAAGUCCAGGAGGUCCUCGAAGGGAGCUGCCUCUAAAGGCUUUGCCCCCAGGGCAGCCGCCUGCUUUUUCAGGAAGGAGAGGGGGACAGGGGCAGCCACCGGGCAGCAAAAAGAGGCGGCCAGCCGACUCCUGCCUUUCGGCCGAAUGACCCACCGCUGCCGCGCCGCCACCUCUGCACCUGCCUGGCUGAGGAAAGGAAAAGAUUUCCGGGGGUUUGGAAGAAGCCAAAUCUUCCGGCUUGCCCUUGGGGCCCGCCCUAAAGAGCGCAGGAAGCCCAGUGGGUAUGUGGCGGUCGCCCUACGAGUCUUGCAGGGAAAGUUCGCUCUGCAGACGCGAGAGAAAAAACAACCACCCUCUGCCGCUUGGCUCCACAAGAACCAUGCAGCGAAAACGCAGAGGUCAGCCCCUCUCCAGGAUUCAGCCCAUCUUGGAUUCAGCUUCUUCGGCCGCACAAACUCCCAAGCUCUGAGAACACGCAGCGCACCCCGCGCGCCUCGCAGCGAAGGCACCCGGGCCACACUGCUGAGUUCUCCGCGUGGCGAAUGCGCGUCGCUUAAGGAAAGCAAUUGA